UUCUUAUAAAAUUGGGCACAAAGGGAACACAAAAGAAGAAUGUAUUUGCGUCUCCCCCAGUUCAAGUUUCCUUUGCCCUGACCCAAAGGUCUGGACACGGAGAGAAUGUUCUAGACCACGGCCAGCACACUUGUAUGAUGCAGAGCCAGAGUGUAAGUAUUUCGGUCUUGGCCACAUGGUAGUGGAAGCAGCCCUUCACCGAGAGCAGCGUGUACCAUAAACCUCGGCGACCACCGAAUGUGGACUUCAGACUGUUUUCACGUGCUACAAAAUGUGGUCAUUCUUUUCUUUUUUCUCCCUACAAUUUGAAAAUGCCAAGACAUUCCUAAUUUGGGGCUGCACAAAAAUCGGCAGGGGCUGGAUCUGGCCCCUGGGCAGUCACGUGCAGACGGGGUGUUGUGGGAGCCCCGCAGCUCCAGGAGUCCCACCUCCUCUUGCUUUCUGCCGGCCACAGCCGAGGAGCAGAGGGGCCGUGCAGCCUGACUCAGCCCUCUGUAGGAUGUCUGGGCGGCUGAGCAUCUGUCUUUCCCAGGCUCCUGGGCCGCGGGCACUGCUGGUCCCAGCGCCAGCCUUACACAGAGUGAUCCGGUUCAUUGACCGGGGCUGUGUCUGCUCCCUCUUAGAAGAAAUGGGGUUCGGUAGCUCAGAGCAGCUCCCGAAGAAUGAACGAAUGAGGGGGUGAGUCAGCCCUGCACCAGCCCUGGCUUCACUCACUCGCCUGCUCUGUGAGCAACGAGGGCUCUGCAGACACUGCCUGACCUGGGAUGCAGCCUGGAUCUGCUCUGGGCGACACUCCUCCUGAAAGGCGGGGGCGCGGCUGUCUCCCUGCUGCACUGUGCUCUGACACCACGACUCGAGCGCCUUUGCAGGGUAAAUCCCCCAUGUCACCCGCUUGCCUUUACACUGGCGGAUCCAGGCCCCGUUUUCUCAUCUCCAUCUCUCUGCCUGGAACACUCGAGCAUCCCCUCGGCCCCAUGCUCUCCGCCAGCCUGAAUCCCUGGAAAUCUGUGCCCAGGAUCACGACCACAUGGGCCUCGUGCGGAGGUAGAGGCCGGAGAGUUCUCACGUCUGGCGGCGUGCACCCUGGAGACGGCUUGGUAGCAUCUCAACCAGCAGGUUGAACAUGAAGAACAGCCCAAGUUGGUGUUUCCUGCUAAUCGUGCCUGGGGCUGGGGCUGGUCUCCAUCCUGUGAUCACUCCAACUCGGUCCGCCUGGGAUCCUGGGAGGCUUCCAGAAACUCAGGACCCAGAGAUGAGUCGUCACGUGGAUUGAUGGGCCAAACGGAAGACACGUCUGGAAAAGGUUCCGGAUACAGGGAUCCGCUGCUUUUUAAAAGUUUGCUUUACUACACUUCGCUCUUACAAAAGACCUGCAUUGGUACCAGUUUCGCUUACAGAAAGAAAUUCGAAGAGGAUUUUUGAAUUUACAAAAACAGGUGAAAAGUUCAGUGUGGGUUUUGCAGUGAAGCCCUUACAGAGGCAGUGUGCACCCUGGGGGCGGCCCCGCCGAGCUCUUUCCUGGGAACCACACUCAGCAUCCAGCGUCCAGCUGCCAGAGCUCUGACCGGUGUCUGCGAGCACCUGUGCUUCAUCCGGAUUUAUUUUGUGGCUCCGUUAUAAAGACACGUUCUAAGGUAACUGCUUCUUCUCUUUAUGUCAUUUUGGCUAUGAAAGGUUUCACAGGAACACUCUGCUUUCAGAUAGCGGGGCAACCUGCAAAAUGGUGCAGACGUUUGUCGUCCAGAACGGGACUUCCCUGUGGGUGAGCGGCCCUGAGGACUCCUGGCCAGCAGGCUGCCAGGGAGGAGGGCUGCCCACAUCCGCAGCGAGUGUCUGCGUGUUUCUCUGGAGGAGAUGCCCCAGCCCUCCUACCUCCCCUACUGAGACUGAGCAAUGCUAAGGAAUCUGGUUUUUUCUUUUCCUCUCACUUUUCCCCCUCCCUCCUCCCUCUGUUCCUUUCCUUCUUCAUCUCACGCUCCGAAACCACAUCGUAAGGAAGGCUAAUUUGGAAGCACAGCAGUCAAUGAUAACUUCCGUAAUUGAUGGAUCAGGAAACCCGCUUCAGGUGGGAGCGUCCCCUUGGACAACCUGCUCAGAAGCCUCCGGACCCGCCUAGCUGCUGUGGCAGGAAAAGCAUCCUACUCGUGUCCUGAAUUACCUCCUGUGGUAGUGAUGGGUUUGGGACAUCAUUAGAUGAAUUACCAAAGGAAACAGCAGUAUAUCUAAAGUAGCCGCCGUGCUGUCAAUCAGAGAACAAGUUCCCCUGCCAUCUGAGCGUGGGCACCCUCCCGUUUUUGGGAGGAGGGUCACACGGGCAGGGCUGGCUUCCUGGAUAGGUGAACCGUGCAGUUGCUCAGGGCCCCCCAACCCUCAGGGGCCCCAUGCUUCGCUUAGCGCUCUGCCGUUGGCACCCGACCCAAAGGCCACUCCUCCGUGGUGCCCAAGAGUGGGCAGGGGAACAGGCUGCCAACGGUGCAGGCAACAAGUAGGCAUUAUCUGUAGGGAAUUUUAAAUAAUAAUAAAACGUAGUAAAAGUUGGUCCCCCUUUUAUUAUCAUCCUCCAGCAAUUCUAAACAAUAUCAGUAAUAAAACCCUCCUCCCUGGAAACACCCUGUGUGGAGUUGUAAAUGCCUGGUGCAAUGGCUAUUGAGAUUUAAUAAGCAGAUACGUAAGUAAGCUCCACUAUUUGCUUAAUUCUGCUGGAAUCACAACUUUGGGUUCGUUCCUGCCUUUGCCACAUGAGCAAUUUUACUUCCCAGAGCCUGGAGGGCUUCGGAAGGGGCCGCUGCAGCCCGGUCUGGAGGCAGAGCCGGCUGGGAGGGCUGGCGGUGGACAGCAGCCCGACAGCGGUCAUGUUGGUAACCGAGCAGUUUGGAACAAACGGUACCUUCCAGCGUCUAAAGUUUAUGGAUAUUAUUAGCCAAUCAGCUUUUGUGUUUAUAUACUUUUUUACGAAGGUUGACACUCACACAGUCCCCCACCCCCAAGAUCAUGACUUUGUGACUACAUUUGCUGUGUAUCAGCCAGUAUAUUCCAGAUCCUAUAUAACUUUGAGUAAUACAGAUUACACUGUAUAAUUCAACAUGCAAACUUCUUAAGAUCCAAUAUAUGAGUAUUGUGUUGCUUUUCAAAAGUGACCAUUUAAA